rnacentral:misc_RNA from 1 species
UUCCAAUUUUUACUCUACAAUAAGCAGGUUGCUCUGAGUAGCCACUUGCCUGGGAAGAUGUUUGUGCUCGUUGGCGCUGUUGCUGUUGCUCUUUCUGAGGAGCUUGUUGUGACUGUUGUGGUUGCUGCCUAGGAACAGGUUGUCCUCCACCUCUGCCUGCCUGCUGCGACUGUUGUGGGCGUUGCUGAGGAGCUUGCUGCGACUGUUCUGGUUGCUGCCCAGGAACAGGUUGUCCUCUACCUCUGCCUGCCUGCUGCAACGGUUGUGGUUGUCCUCUACCUCUGCCUGCCUGCUGCAACGGUUGUGGUUGUACUCUACUGCUGCCUUGACUUUGACCGCGACCUGUUUCUGUAGUGACUGCAGAAGGUGCUGGUACGGAAGGUUCUGACUGCAAAAUUUGUGUAACAGGAGCUUCGACUCUUGGUUGCGGUGGUACCAGCUGUGGUGAAGAGGUUCCAGAUUGAGGUUGAGAGACCUGAGGGGUGUUCUCGGUUUGCUGCUUUCGUUGCUUUCCUAUUAAAAAUAUGGUUCGGCAUUUGCAAAUUAUGUUUAAAAUCAGUAAAACACAGAUCCUGAAA